rnacentral:rRNA from 1 species
GACGAACGCUGGCGGCGUGCCUAAUACAUGCAAGUCGAACGAAGCUGUUUUAACUGGUGCUUGCACCGACUUAAACAACUGAGUGGCGAACGGGUGAGUAACACGUGGGUAACCUGCCCCAAAGCGGGGGAUAACAUUUGGAAACAGAUGCUAAUACCGCAUAACCACAGAAACCACAUGGUUUCUGUGUCAAAGAUGGUUUCGGCUAUCACUUUAGGAUGGACCCGCGGCGUAUUAGCUAGUUGGUAAGGUAAUGGCUUACCAAGGCAAUGAUACGUAGCCGAACUGAGAGGUUGAUCGGCCACAUUGGGACUGAGACACGGCCCAAACUCUUACGGGAGGCAGCAGUAGGGAAUCUUCCAAAAUGGACGAAAGUCUGAUGGAGCAACGCCGCGUGAGUGAAGAAGGUUUUCGGAUCGUAGAACUCUGUUGUCAGAGAAGAACGUGUGCGAGAGUAACUGCUCGUGCAGUGACGGUAUCUGGCCAGAAAGCCACGGCUAACUACGUGCCAGCAGCCGCCGCAG